rnacentral:rRNA from 1 species
CUUACACAUGCAGUCGAGCGGGGAAGGUAGCUUGCUACUGGACCUAACGGCGGACGGGUGAGUAAUGCUUAGGAAUCUGCCUAUUAGUGGGGGACAACGUUCCGAAAGGAACGCUAAUACCGCAUACGCCCUACGGGGGAAAGCAGGGGAUCUUCGGACCUUGCGCUAAUAGAUGAGCCUAAGUCGGAUUAGCUAGUUGGUGGGGUAAAGGCCUACCAAGGCGACGAUCUGUAGCGGGUCUGAGAGGAUGAUCCGCCACACUGGGACUGAGACACGGCCCAGACUCCUACGGGAGGCAGCAGUGGGGAAUAUUGGACAAUGGGCGGAAGCCUGAUCCAGCCAUGCCGCGUGUGUGAAGAAGGCCUUUUGGUUGUAAAGCACUUUAAGCGAGGAGGAGGCUCCUUUAGUUAAUACCUAAAGAGAGUGGACGUUACUCGCAGAAUAAGCACCGGCUAACUCUGUGCCAGCAGCCGCGGUAAUACAGAGGGUGCGAGCGUUAAUCGGAUUUACUGGGCGUAAAGCGUGCGUAGGCGGCUUUUUAAGUCGGAUGUGAAAUCCCUGAGCUUAACUUAGGAAUUGCAUUCGAUACUGGGAAGCUAGAGUAUGGGAGAGGAUGGUAGAAUUCCAGGUGUAGCGGUGAAAUGCGUAGAGAUCUGGAGGAAUACCGAUGGCGAACGCAGCCAUCUGGCCUAAUACUGACGCUGAGGUACGAAAGCAUGGGGAGCAAACAGGAUUA